rnacentral:rRNA from 1 species
GACAGAGGUGCCAAGCGUUAGGCGGAAUCACUGGGCUUAAAGCGUGUGUAGGCGGAUGUCUAAGUACCUUGUGAAAUGCCGCGGCUCAACCGUGGAACUGCCUCAGAUACUGUCGGCCUCGAGGGAGGUAGGGGCGUGCGGAACUGUAGGUGGAGCGGUGAAAUGCGUUGAUAUCUACAGGAACUCCGGUGGCGAAAGCGGCGCGCUGGACCUCUUCUGACGCUGAGGCGCGAAAGCUAGGGGAGCAAACGGG